rnacentral:rRNA from 1 species
GAUGAACGCUGGCGGCGUGCCUAAUACAUGCAAGUCGAGCGAACAGAUGAGGAGCUUGCUCCUCUGACGUUAGCGGCGGACGGGUGAGUAACACGUGGAUAACCUACCUAUAAGACUGGGAUAACUUCGGGAAACCGGAGCUAAUACCGGAUAAUAUAUUGAACCGCAUGGUUCAAUAGUGAAAGACGGUUUUGCUGUCACUUAUAGAUGGAUCCGCGCCGCAUUAGCUAGUUGGUAAGGUAACGGCUUACCAAGGCAACGAUGCGUAGCCGACCUGAGAGGGUGAUCGGCCACACUGGAACUGAGACACGGUCCAGACUCCUACGGGAGGCAGCAGUAGGGAAUCUUCGGCAAUGGGCGAAAGCCUGACGGAGCAACGCCGCGUGAGUUAUGAAGGUCUUCGGAUCGUAAAGCUCUGUUAUUAGGGAAGAACAAAUGUGUAAGUAACUAUGGACGUCUUGACGGUACCUAAUCAGAAAGCAACGGCUAACUACGUG